rnacentral:rRNA from 2 species
UGGUGGGUAGUUUGACUGGGGCGGUCUCCUCCUAAAGAGUAACGGAGGAGCACGAAGGUUGGCUAAUCCUGGUCGGACAUCAGGAGGUUAGUGCAAUGGCAUAAGCCAGCUUGACUGCGAGCGUGACGGCGCGAGCAGGUGCGAAAGCAGGUCAUAGUGAUCCGGUGGUUCUGAAUGGAAGGGCCAUCGCUCAACGGAUAAAAGGUACUCCGGGGAUAACAGGCUGAUACCGCCCAAGAGUUCAUAUCGACGGCGGUGUUUGGCACCUCGAUGUCGGCUCAUCACAUCCUGGGGCUGAAGUAGGUCCCAAGGGUAUGGCUGUUCGCCAUUUAAAGUGGUACGCGAGCUGGGUUUAGAACGUCGUGAGACAGUUCGGUCCCUAUCUGCCGUGGGCGCUGGAGAACUGAGGGGGGCUGCUCCUAGUACGAGAGGACCGGAGUGGACGCAUCACUGGUGUUCGGGUUGUCAUGCCAAUGGCACUGCCCGGUAGCUAAAUGCGGAAGAGAUAAGUGCUGAAAGCAUCUAAGCACGAAACUUGCCCCGAGAUGAGUUCUCCCUGAGACU